GUCUACGGCCACGCCACCCUGAACAAGCCCAGUCCCGUCUGAUCUGAAGCUAAGCAGGGUCAGGCCUGGUUAGUACUUGGAUGGGAGACCACCUAGGCAGACUACGUGCUGCAGGCA
rnacentral:rRNA from 1 species